rnacentral:rRNA from 1 species
UACGUAGGGGGCGAGCGUUGUCCGGAUUUAUUGGGCGUAAAGAGCUCGUAGGCGGUUUGGUAAGUCGGGUGUGAAAUCUCCAGGCUCAACCUGGAGAGGUCACCCGAGACUGCCAUGACUAGAGUCCGGUAGGGGUGUGUGGAAUUCCUGGUGGAGCGGUGAAAUGCGCAGAUAUCAGGAGGAACACCGAUGGCGAAGGCAGGUCUCUGGGCAUUAACUGACGCUGAGGAGCGAAAGCAUGGGGAGCGAACAGG